rnacentral:rRNA from 1 species
UAUUAAUAAGCGGAGGAAAAGAAACUAACAAGGAUUCCCUUAGUAACGGCGAGCGAAAAGGGAAGAGCCCAGCGCUGAAUCUGGUAUCCCACGGAUAUCAAGACAUGUAGCGUUUGGGACGAGACAUUGCCUGUGCUGAAUGGCUAUCCAAGUCCCUCUUGAAUGGGGCCAUUGCCCAAGGAGGGUGCUAGGCCCGUACGAUAGCUUUGUGGUGCAGUGCGUUUCGUCCGUAGAGUCGGGUUGCUUGGGAGUGCAGCUCAAAUACGGUGGUAAACUCCAUCUAAGGCUAAAUAUGACCACGAGACCGAUAGCGAACAAGUACCGUGAGGGAAAGUUGAAAAGAACUUUGAAGAGAGAGUUAAAUAGUACGUGAAACCUCUCGGGGGUAAGCGGGCAGAACUUGCAAGACUUGGCAAGAAGAUUCAGGCUUGGUGCCGAUGGCUGAGAGCAUUAGUUAGGUUGGCCAUUCGUGGUUGACUGGUUUGUGUUCUUUGUUCUGUUGGUAAUGCGCCGCACUUCUUUUUGUCAUCCGGGCUAUAUGCGACUGAAUGUGUAGUUUAGGAGCUAGGUUUCUGUAAAUUGUUAGUUCAAUUUAAGUCUUGGUUUCCGAUUACUGUUGCGGUCGUUGUAAUACUGAACAGGUUGUAUAAACGGUCAAAUUUUUGUGCGAGUAGGGUUUAACGAGUAUGUGGACGAGCAAUCGUAGCAUGUUUGUUAAACUGAUUGUCAGCAUGAGAAUAUUGGCACUGUUCUAUAUAUUAUAGCCUAAAGAAUGCGUGGUCUGCCUGU